UCCACUGUUGCGUUUUUCAUACGUACGUAUACGCACGUAAAACUUUAAAUCCGUUUAAAUGUUACUUAUGAAAUAACCAAAUAAAUAAAGCAACAGAAUUUAGUGUUCCGCAAGUUUUAGUAUGCAUUUGUUAACUUACCCGUAAAAUAUUUAAAAAAUAGAAGGAUUCAAAGUUUUACGUGCGUGUACGUGCGUACGAAAAACGCAACAGUGGA
rnacentral:miRNA from 1 species